rnacentral:lncRNA from 1 species
AUGGUCUCUUUAGAAAGUACAGUGUCUUGGGUGGUGAGCCUGGCCGGGCUGGGCCCAGGGGUCUGUUUGGACUCUGUUGUCACAGCAACAAGGGAAUGUUUGCUAACAAAGUGGGUGACCUCACAAAGGCUAGUCUUACUUAUCCCUGGCUGUCCCGAAGCCCAGGGCCAGACAGGAGCCGGCUGGGAGAGAGGUUGGAGGCAGAGGAAGUCCACAGUUGGACUUUGCCUUGGCGGAGCUCUGACUGCUACCAAGUUUCUAUCCUGCCUGACAGCCCACGGAGCCUAUGUCCAAGUAGAGAGAGAGCUGGGGAAGAGAAGAGCCAUGCGUUGGUCUCUGAUUGGCUGUAUGCUGCUUCUGUACCUGAUGCUCUCCAUUUCCUGCUACCCCCACCUGGAGCCCACAGUCCACAGAUCUCAGCCAAGCUUUGGCCAAGGCGCGAAAGAGAGAAUGGGCCAGAAGCCAUUCUUGAGGCACAUGUUGGCUGUCAAGACUAAAGAUCCCGUCUUCGACAAUGACCAGAGUUAUGGCCGAGUAGUUAUGAGAAGCAUGAGAAGAAAUUACCAGAUGUCCUCUUUCCUGAACAACUUCUGGAUCAACAUGUCGGAUUUGCUGCCCCGGUUGGCCAUUUACGCUUUUGUGGUCUCCUCUGCAGUAAUAUCUCUGCUAUUCUGUCUCACGUUUCUCUUGGACAGCAGAGGCCCCUGA